rnacentral:rRNA from 1 species
UACGUAGGUGGCAAGCGUUGUCCGGAAUUAUUGGGCGUAAAGCGCGCGCAGGCGGUACUUUAAGUCUGAUGUGAAAUCCCUCGGCUCAACCAAGGAAGUGCAUCCGAAACUGCUGAGCUUGAGUACUUAAGAGGAUCGCGGAAUUCCCGGUGUAGAGGUGAAAUUCGUAGAUAUCGGGAGGAACACCAGUGGCGAAGGCGGCGAUCUGGGCAGAUACUGACGCUGAGGUGCGAAAGCGUGGGGAGCAAACAGG